rnacentral:rRNA from 1 species
UACGUAGGGUGCAAGCGUUGUCCGGAAUUAUUGGGCGUAAAGAGCGUGUAGGCGGCCCGACCAGUCCGCUGUGAAAGUCCAAGGGCUCAACCCUGGAAUGCCGGUGGAUACUGUCGGGCUAGAGUCCGGAAGGGCGAGUGGAAUUCCGUGGUGUAGCGGUGGAAGUGACGUAGAGAUCCGGAAGAACACCGGUGGCGAAGGCGGCCUGCUGGGACAUUGCUGACGCUGAGGCGCGAAAGCGUGGGGAGCGAACAGG